rnacentral:misc_RNA from 1 species
UCAAACUUGGUCAUUUAGAGGAAGUAAAAGUCGUAACAAGGUUUCCGUAGGUGAACCUGCGGAAGGAUCAUUACAGGAACCCGGGGAGGGUCCGCCCACUCGUCCUCACGGACCGCGGGCGACGGCCCCCCCGGCCCCUCGGGGCGGCGCCUCCGCGCGCCGUUCCCACCUUUGCUCCGCAAACCCGUGAAGGCGAGGGAACGUCGGGGGUGGGCCGGGUGCAGCGCACUUCGGUCCCCCAGCGACCGGGCGGCUCGCUCCGCCCCGGGCCCCGCCCGAGAGGACGGCGGCACCGAGAAUUUGGAAUCACAGUGGAAAAACUUUCAACAACGGAUCUCUUGGUUCUCGCAUCGAUGAAGAACGCAGC